CCAGGUUAGCUAGGGUUGGAGGCCGUCAGAGAUAUUAUCACACUGUCGAGUUAACACUAUCGGCGUAAGUAAACUCAAGUGAUUCUAGUCUAUGGCAUGUAUAGGGUUUUAAUGUGAGUAUGUAAUAUUAUGAUUUAGCCAAAGGCAUUGGCUUGUUAUUAAGGUAGUAUUAGUCAUGUAAAUUGGCCUAUGUCGGCUAAUAUCGUUAUAGGCCCAUAUGAUUAUUCUUAUGCAUGUAUGUUAUUAUCUCUUGUGAUGUGGCUUACAACAUGUAGGCCUAGAGAUUGAAUUGAGAUUCAUUGAUGAGAUAAUAACUAAUGCAGGAUUAAGUGAUUGGUAAAUA